GACGAACGCUGGCGGCGUGCCUAAUACAUGCAAGUAGAACGCACAGUUUAUACCGUAGCUUGCUACACCAUAGACUGUGAGUUGCGCACGGGUGAGUAACGCGUAGGUAACCUGCCUGGACGCGGGGGAUAACUAUUGGAAACGAUAGCUAAUACCGCAUACUAUUGAUUAUUGCAUGAUAAUUAUUUGAAAGUUGCAAUUGAACCACUACCAGAUGGACCUGCGUUGUAUUAGCUAGUAGGUAAGGUAAGGGCUCACCUAGACGACGAUACAUACCCGACCUGAGAGGGUGAUCGGCUACACUGGGACGGGGACACGGCCCAGAAUCCUACGGGAGACAGCAGUAGGGAAUCUUCGGCAAUGGAAGAAAGUCUGACCGUGCGACGACGCGUGAGUGAAGAAGGCUGUCGGAUCGUAAAGCUCUGUUGUAAGAGAAGAACGGGUGGGAGAGUGGAACGUUCACACUGUGACGGUAUCUGACCAGAAAGGGACGGCUAACUCCGUG
rnacentral:rRNA from 1 species